rnacentral:tRNA from 1 species
GGGUUUUUGGCUCAGUGGUACAGCAGUCGCCUAGCAAGAGUGAGGCCGUGGGUUCUAUCCACAUAAAAUCUC